GAUUUUCUGCCUGUUGGAUCUCUUAAUUACUGCUGGAAGGGUGCUGCAGUCUCCAACUAUACAAAGGAAUAUUUUCAUUCAACCAACUUGAUCUGUCUACGUCUAAUGGCCUGGAAUCCUUCAGGAAAGUAUGGUCAGCUGGAUUUUGUCAGAAGGUGGAUUUCUACGGGCCUUAUGGCCUCUCAUGUUUGAUGAAGGGAACAGAAGAAAAUGGUUCCACUUCAGUGUAUAUUUAUUUUUUCAUGGAUACCUUUUUCGUUUUAUCCUGUUUCUUUUUUUCUUUCUUUCUUUUUUUUUUUUUUUUUUUUUGAGACAGAGUUUUGCUCUCGUCACCCAGGCUGGAGUGGAGUGGUGCAAUCUCUACUCACUGCAACAUCCGCCUCCUGGUCUCAAGCGAUUCUCUUUCCUCAGCCUCCCAAGUAGCUGGUAUUACAGGUGCCCACCACCACGCCCGGCAAAUUUUUUGUAUUUUUAGUAGAGACAGGGUUUUGCCAUGUUGGGCUGGCUGGUCUCAAACUCCUGAUCU
rnacentral:sRNA from 1 species